GUAAUUUGUAGAGGAUGCUUCUGGCGAGGCGCCGCCUGAGUUCCCUGGAACGGGACGCCAUAGAGGGUGAGAGCCCCGUCUGGCUGGCCGCCGAGCCUCUGUGAAGCUCCUUCGACGAGUCGAGUAGUUUGGGAAUGCUGCUCAAAACGGGAGGUAUAUGUCUUCUAAAGCUAAAUAUUGGCCAGAGACCGAUAGCGCACAAGUAGAGUGAUCGAAAGAUGAAAAGCACUUUGAAAAGAGGGUUAAACAGUACGUGAAAUUGUUGAAAGGGAAGCGCUUGCGACCAGACUCGGGCGCGGCGGAUCAUCCGGCGUUCUCGCCGGUGCACUCCGCCGCGCUCGGGCCAGCAUCGGUUCGCCCCGGGGGAGAAAGGCGUCGGGAAUGUGGCUCCUCCGGGAGUGUUAUAGCCCGGCGCGGAAUACCCUGGGGCGGACCGAGGACCGCGCGUUUACGCAAGGAUGCUGGCGUAAUGGUCGCCAGCGACCCGUCUUGAAACACGGACCAAGGAGUCGUCCUCGUAUGCGAGUGUUCGGGUGUCAAACCCCUACGCGUAAUGAAAGUGAACGCAGGUGAGAGCUUCGGCGCAUCAUCGACCGAUCCUGAUGUUCUCGGAUGGAUUUGAGUAAGAGCAUACGGGGCCGGACCCGAAAGAAGGUGAACUAUGCCUGUGUAGGGUGAAGCCAGAGGAAACUCU
rnacentral:rRNA from 1 species